rnacentral:rRNA from 1 species
UUCGGUGGGGAUUAGUGGCGAACGGGUGAGUAACACGUGGGCAAUCUGCCCUUCACUCUGGGACAAGCCCUGGAAACGGGGUCUAAUACCGGAUAUCACUCCCGCAGGCAUCUGUGGGGGUCGAAAGCUCCGGCGGUGAAGGAUGAGCCCGCGGCCUAUCAGCUUGUUGGUGAGGUAAUGGCUCACCAAGGCGACGACGGGUAGCCGGCCUGAGAGGGCGACCGGCCACACUGGGACUGAGACACGGCCCAGACUCCUACGGGAGGCAGCAGUGGGGAAUAUUGCACAAUGGGCGAAAGCCUGAUGCAGCGACGCCGCGUGAGGGAUGACGGCCUUCGGGUUGUAAACCUCUUUCAGCAGGGAAGAAGCGAAAGUGACGGUACCUGCAGAAGAAGCGCCGGCUAACUACGUGCCAGCAGCCGCGGUAAUACGUAGGGCGCAAGCGUUGUCCGGAAUUAUUGGGCGUAAAGAGCUCGUAGGCGGCUUGUCACGUCGGGUGUGAAAGCCCGGGGCUUAACCCCGGGUCUGCAUUCGAUACGGGCUAGCUAGAGUGUGGUAGGGGAGAUCGGAAUUCCUGGUGUAGCGGUGAAAUGCGCAGAUAUCAGGAGGAACACCGGUGGCGAAGGCGGAUCUCUGGGCCAUUACUGACGCUGAGGAGCGAAAGCGUGGGGAGCGAACAGGAUUAGAUACCCUGGUAGUCCACGCCGUAAACGGUGGGAACUAGGUGUUGGCGACAUUCCACGUCGUCGGUGCCGCAGCUAACGCAUUAAGUUCCCCGCCUGGGGAGUACGGCCGCAAGGCUAAAACUCAAAGGAAUUGACGGGGGCCCGCACAAGCAGCGGAGCAUGUGGCUUAAUUCGACGCAACGCGAAGAACCUUACCAAGGCUUGACAUACACCGGAACGUCUGGAGACAGGCGCCCCCUUGGUGGUCGGUGUACAGUGGUGCAUGGCUGUCGUCAGCUCGUGUCGUGGAGAUGUUGGGUUAGAAGUCCCGCAACGAGCGCAACCCUUGUCCUGUGUUGCCAGCAUGCCCUUCGGGGUGAUGGGGACUCACAGGAGACCGCCGGGGUCAACUCGGAGGAAGGUGGGGACGACGUCAAGUCAUCAUGCCCCUUAUGUCUUGGGCUGCACACGUGCUACAAUGGCCGGUACAAUGAGCUGCGAUACCGUGAGGUGGAGCGAAUCUCAAAAAGCCGGUCUCAGUUCGGAUUGGGGUCUGCAACUCGACCCCAUGAAGUCGGAGUUGCUAGUAAUCGCAGAUCAGCAUUGCUGCGGUGAAUACGUUCCCGGGCCUUGUACACACCGCCCGUCACGUCACGAAAGUUGGUAACACCCGAAG